GACGAACGCUGGCGGCGUGCCUAAUACAUGCAAGUCGAACGCAGUGGGGACGGGUGAGUAACACGUGGGUAACCUCCCAUCAGAGGGGAUAACACUUGGAAACAGGUGCUAAACCGAAACUGAUGGAUGGACCCGCGGUGCAUUAGCUAGUGGUGGGGGUAACGGCGCAACAAGGCCACGAUGCAUAGGCGACCUGAGAGGGUGGUCGGGCACAGUGGGACUGGUACACGGCCCAGACUCCUACGGGAGGCAGCAGUGGGGAAGUUUGGACAAUGGGGGAAACCCUGGUCCAGCCAUCCCGCGUGUGAGAGGAAGGCCUUCGGGUUGUAAAGCACUUUUGGCAGGAAAGCGGUACCUGCAGAAUAAGCACCGGCUAACUACGUGCCAGCAGCCGCGGUAAUAC
rnacentral:rRNA from 1 species